GCACCUCUAAGUACUGCCAUUUAUAUGAAAAUUACGAGAUGUAUCUUUUUUUCUGCUGUUACACAAUAUAAAUUCAUUAGUACUAAAUGAUUAACUAAUUGGCUAAUUUUUGUCUUUCAGGUUUAAUGAAUAAAUGGGCAAAGUUUUAACUUAAUCCGAAAAUGGGAAAUAGAAAUCAAAACAUGUUCAAACUUUUACGUCAAAGAAAAAGAGACAAACAGACAAAAUGAGUGAAAAUAAAAUGUGUAAUUAUUGACAAUCAUUAACUUUAUAAAGAAGUAAUUAUUUUAAAACAAAUUGUUAUGCUAUUUAUAUACUUAUUCAAGACACUCACUACCAUCAAAGAAUACAAAAUAAAUUUUUUGUUAAAGGCUUAUGACAUCUGUAAGAAUAGGGCAUAACAUAGGAAACACUAUUUGGACGCUUAGGAAAUUGUGCAAAAAGAAAUUCAUGUACUUAUCAGUGUAGGUAUAGAUAGAGUUUGGAUUUUGAAUACGAUAUGUAAAUUAAAAAAAAAAUUGUUUCGUUUCUCUAUUUCGUUUGGAGCCACACAAAAAUCCCGUCAUUGACGGUUCACUAACUAUAUAAGGCCUGAAUUAUCCGUGAAAUGAUACAAAUAU